GCCCUCGUAGCUCAGUGGAUAGAGCGUCUGCCUCCGGAGCAGAAGGCCACAGGUUCGAAUCCUGUCGAGGGCGCCA
rnacentral:tRNA from 1 species